CAUGCAAGUCGAACGGAGCUUAGAGAGCUUGCUUUUUAAGCUUAGUGGCGAACGGGUGAGUAACGCGUGAGUAACCUGCCCUAGAGUGGGGGACAACAGUUGGAAACGACUGCUAAUACCGCAUAAGCCCACGGUGCCGCAUGACACUGAGGGAAAAGGAUUUAUUCGCUUUAGGAUGGACUCGCGUCCAAUUAGCUAGUUGGUGAGGUAACGGCCCACCAAGGCGACGAUUGGUAGCCGGGCUGAGAGGUUGAACGGCCACAUUGGGACUGAGACACGGCCCAGACUCCUACGGGAGGCAGCAGUGGGGGAUAUUGCACAAUGGGGGAAACCCUGAUGCAGCGACGCCGCGUGGAGGAAGAAGGUUUUCGGAUUGUAAACUCCUGUCGUUAGGGACGAUAAUGACGGUACCUAACAAGAAAGCACCGGCUAACUACGUGCCAGCAGCCGCGGUAAAACGUAGGGUGCAAGCGUUGUCCGGAAUUACUGGGUGUAAAGGGAGCGCAGGCGGGAAGACAAGUUGGAAGUGAAAACCAUGGGCUCAACCCAUGAAUUGCUUUCAAAACUGUUUUUCUUGAGUAGUGCAGAGGUAGAUGGAAUUCCCGGUGUAGCGG
rnacentral:rRNA from 1 species